GAUGAACGCUGGCGGCGUGCCUAAUACAUGCAAGUCGAGCGAACGGACGAGAAGCUUGCUUCUCUGAUGUUAGCGGCGGACGGGUGAGUAACACGUGGAUAACCUACCUAUAAGACUGGGAUAACUUCGGGAACCCGGAGCUAAUACCGGAUAAUAUUUUGAACGGCAUGGUUCAAAAUUGAAAGACGUUCUUGCUGUCACUAUUAGUUGGAUCCUCGCUGCAUUAGCUAGUUGUUAAGGUAACGACUUACUAAGGCAACGAUGCAUAGCCGACCUGAGAGGGUGAUCGGCCACACUGGAACUGAGACACGGUCCAGACGCCUACGGGAGGCAGCAGUAGGGAAUCUUCCGAAAUGGGCGAAAGCCUGACGGAGAAACGCAGCGUGAGUGAUGAAGGUCUGCGGAGCGUAAAACUCUGUUAUUAGGGAAGAACACAUGUGUAAGUAACUGUGCACAUCUUGACGGUACCUAAGCAGAAAGCCACGGCUAACUACGU
rnacentral:rRNA from 1 species